GACGAACGCUGGCGGCGUGCCUAAUACAUGCAAGUAGAACGCUGAAGGAGGAGCUUACUUCUCUGGAUGAGUUGCGAACGGAUGAGUAACGCGUAGGUAACCUGCCUGGUAGCGGGGGAUAACUAUUGGAAACGAUAGCUAAUACCGCAUAAGAGUAGAUGUUGCAUGACAUUUACUUAAAAGGUGCAAUUGCACCACUACCAGAUGGACCUGCGUUGUAUUAGCUAGUUGGUGGGGUAACGGCUUACCAAGGCGACGAUACAUAGCCGACCUGAGCGGGUGAUCGGCCACACUGGGACUGAGACACGGCCCAGACUCCUACGGGAGGCAGCAGUAGGGAAUCUUCAGCAAUGGACGGAAGUCUGACCGAGCAACGCCGCGUGAGUGAAGAAGGUUUUCGGAUCGUAAAGCUCUGUUGUAAGAGAAGAACGAGUGUGAGAGUGGAAAGUUCACACUGUGACGGUAUCUUACCAGAAAGGGACGGCUAACUACGUGCCAGCCGCCGCCGUAA
rnacentral:rRNA from 1 species